GGGGAAUCUUGGACAAUGGGGGCAACCCUGAUCCAGCGAUGCCGCGUGUGUGAAGAAGGCCUUCGGGUUGUAAAGCACUUUAGGUGGGGAAGAAAGGCAGUUGUUGAAUACGCAACUGUUAUGACGGUACCCGCAGAAUAAGCACCGGCUAACUCUGUGCCAGCAGCCGCGGUAAUACAGAGGGUGCAAGCGUUAAUCAGAAUGACUGGGCGUAAAGGGCGUGUAGGUGGUUAAUUAGGUUUGAUGUGAAAUCCCCGGGCUUAACCUGGGAAUUGCGUCGAAAACGGAUUAACUCGAGUGAGAUAGAGGGUUGUGGAAUUUCCGGUGUAGCGGUGAAAUGCGUAGAUAUCGGAAAGAACAUCAGUGGCGAAGGCGACAACCUGGAUCUUAACUGACACUGAGGCGCGAAGGCGUGGGGAGCAAACAGGAUUAGAUACCCUGGUAGUCCACGCAGUAAACGAUGAGAACUGGCUGUGAUGUGUAGGGAGCAAUCUCUGCAUGACGUAGCGAAGCUAACGCGUUAAGUUCUCCGCCUGGGGAGUACGGCCGCAAGGUUA
rnacentral:rRNA from 1 species